rnacentral:lncRNA from 1 species
GGGAACUAAAAUACUUUGGCUCUGGGUGAGGCACAAUUUGCACGGAGUUGGAAGGUGCACCUGUCAGUUGCUUGGUUUACCUAUACCUCAGAGCCCUGUAUCUUCCUGAAGGAGAAAGGGAACUAGUGCUUUGCAAGUGGGUCUCUCAUAAUCACUUAAUUAUGAUUAUUCAGACACAAAAGGAAAUUCUGGAAUUAGCAACCACAGUAAUCAGCAUUCUUCCCAUUUUGAAGAUGAGGACAUGUAGUACACAGCACAGGUAGUAUAUAGCAAAGCCCAAACUCAACAUGUCUGUGUGAUCUUAGCCCUGAGCUAUCAUUUCAAGAGAAGACAUCAAGAACUAAGGCCACAGGCAAGAAACAAAGAAGCUGGGAUUAGCAGCUUGUGACAUCAGAGAACACAGGCAACGUCUCGGAGCUCCACUGCGGCAAUGGAAGGAACUUAGAAGGAGGACAACCAGGCUUUCCCUGCCAUCUGGAGCCUAAAAACUGCCCUAAUCAACUCCUUUGCCCAGCUCGCAACCAGAGGAGAAAUGGAAAUAAUCAGUAAAUGAGAAAUCAGGGUCUAUUUGAGUGUUGAGUGUUUACAACAUGGUGCCAGAUAUUUGGAAAGAAAUAAGUGUGACUGAAGUAUGAAGAGGGGACUCUUUCUUUCACCUAAUAAAUGGUUUAGUGACGACUCAGUCACACCCCAAGGUCACUCUUGAAAUCACAGCCUUAUGAAGUGGCCCACGAGAAUCAGACCAGCUGCUAGUGUCUCCUUCUCUUCCAAAGCUCCCAGAAAGACAGCUGCCCCUUGGAAGAUUUAUUUCUUAAGCCAGGAGUUCUCAGACUUAGCAGUCUAUCUGUGCCACUGUGUUCCACAAAAGAUGGUGAGAAAUACUGUCUCCAUAUUACAGAUGAUGGGGAAAGGACAAAGUCAUCACCUACCUGCAAGGUGGGCUAUCUUUUCAUGUGCAGAUGCCUGUAUUCAGAAGGAGGUUUUCCUGCUAUCAAUCCCAAAGAUCUUUUUCUGUAACUUCCAUCUGUUGUGAAGCCUUCUAAAGACAAAAAGAAUAAAUCCUAUUGGUGUUUCAUGAAAGAGUUUAUCACAUCCUCUUAAGUUUUUUUCUUCUCCAAAGCAAAUUUCUCAGUGUUUUAAACCAUUCUUCAACUAACAUAAUAUCCUGAUGCCUCAUCACCCUAACUCUCUGUCAUAACAUACCAAAUGUCUGUUAAUAUUCUGGGAGGUGCAGUAUCCCGAACAAAAUGCCAUGUUCCAGUUAGGCUAGCCAGCACAGAACGCAAAGAAACUAUUACAGCCUUUAUUGAUCUUGAUUGACCUGGUUCUAAAUCCUAUUAGACUACCUUAAAAAUACAUUAUUUGAUUGAGGAGCCAUAAAAGAAAAAUUAUAGAUACUUUCAAUGUAAGGAUAAGAUCCAUUGAGCAUACACAAAAUAAUUCAAAAAGGGUUAAUUUUAGG